GCUGCCAGUCCUGGCGGCUCUUUCAGGAACAGCAGAUCACUUGCUUCUCUCUGGAAUAAGAUUCAUGAGGAAGAUCAGAGGAUUUUCGAAAUUGUUGCUGUCUGUAAAAGAAUUUAUAAUUUGCACCUUCCUGUGCCCAGGUUGCUCCCAGGCACCCUCACUCUGGUUCUUGAAGUUGGUAUGCUUUCUGUUCAGACAAGUAGCUUCUUGGGCUAUUAAUUAUAUAAUUAAAAGUCUAAACCUUUUCAUUUUAAAUGAU
rnacentral:lncRNA from 1 species